rnacentral:rRNA from 1 species
GACGAACGCUGGCGGCGUGCUUAACACAUGCAAGUCGAACGGAAAGGCCCUGCUUUUGUGGGGUGCUCGAGUGGCGAACGGGUGAGUAACACGUGAGUAACCUGCCCUUGACUUUGGGAUAACUUCAGGAAACUGGGGCUAAUACCGGAUAGGAGCUCCUGCUGCAUGGUGGGGGUUGGAAAGUUUCGGCGGUUGGGGAUGGACUCGCGGCUUAUCAGCUUGUUGGUGGGGUAGUGGCUUACCAAGGCUUUGACGGGUAGCCGGCCUGAGAGGGUGACCGGCCCCAUUGGGACUGAGAUACGGCCCAGACUCCUACGGGAGGCAGCAGUGGAGAAUAUUGCACAAUGGGCGGAAGCCUGAUGCAGCAACGCCGCGUGCGGGAUGACGGCCUUCGGGUUGUAAACCGCUUUCGCCUGUGACGAAGCGUGAGUGACGGUAAUGGGUAAAGAAGCACCGGCUAACUACGUG